rnacentral:rRNA from 1 species
UGAAUACGAGGCACUAAGGUGCUGAAGUAGUGUAUGUCAUACUUCCAAGAAAAGCUUGCACUAUCGUAAGAUAAAAAUGCCUGUACCAUAACCGACACAGGUGGGUAGGUAGAGUAUACUAAGGGGCGCGAGAUAACUCUCUCUAAGGAACUCGGCAAAAUAACUCCGUAACUUCGGGAGAAGGAGUGCCUUAUUCUAUGAGGUUGCAAUAACAAGAUCCAAGCAACUGUUUAUCAAAAACACAGGUCUCCGCUAAGUCGUAAGACGAUGUAUGGGGGCUGACGCCUGCCCAGUGCCAGAAGGUUAAAGAAGUCGGUUAGCAAUUGCGAAGCUGGUAACUGAAGCCCUGGUGAACGGCGGCCGUAACUAUAACGGUCCUAAGGUAGCGAAAUUCCUUGUCGGGUAAGUUCCGACCCGCACGAAAGGCGUAAUGAUUUGGAUACUGUCUCGGAGAGGGACUCGGUGAAAUAGACUUGUCUGUGAAGAUGCGGACUACCUGCACCAGGACAGAAAGACCCUAUGAAGCUUUACUGUAACUUGAAAUUGAAAUUGGACUUUAUUCGCGCAGUAUAGGUGGGAGGCGUUGAUUAUAAUCUUGUGGGAUUAUUGGAGCCAUUAGUGAGAUACCACUCUUGUAAUGUUAGAUUUCUAACUUUGAAUCAUGAUCUGGUCAAAGAACAGUUUCAGGCGGGCAGUUUGACUGGGGCGGUCGCCUCCUAAAUGGUAACGGAGGCGUACAAAGGUUUCCUCUGAACGGGUAGAAAUCGUAUCUAGAGUGUAAAGGCAUAAGGAAGCUUGACUGUGAGACCUACAAGUCGAGCAGGGACGAAAGUCGGUCUUAGUGAUCUGACGGUACUGAGUGGAAAGGCCGUCACUCAACGGAUAAAAGUUACUCUAAGGAUAACAGGCUGAUCCCCCCCAAGAGUUCACAUCGACGGGGAGGUUUGGCACCUCGAUGUCGGCUCAUCGCAUCCUGGGGCGGUAGUACGUCCCAAGGGUUGGGCUGUUCGCCCAUGAAAGCGGUACGCGAGCUGGGUUCAGAACGUCGUGAGACAGUUCGGUCCAUAUCCGGUGUAGGCGUUAGAAUAUUGAGAGGAGCCUUCUUUAGUACGAGAGGACCGAGAAGGACAUACCUCUGGUGUACCAGUUAUCGUGCCAACGGUAAACGCUGGGUAGCUAUGUAUGGAGUGGAUAACCGCUGAAAGCAUCUAAGUGGGAAGCCCACCUCAAGAUAAGUAUUCGC